GAACUCAGGACCUUGUGCUUGCGAGGCAAGCAGCAGAACCACUGAGCUAAAUCCCCGGCCCUGGAACAUGUUUUUUGUUAUUGUUGUUGUUGGUACCGGGGGUCAAGCUCAGGACCUUGUGCUUUCAAGGCAGGCCUGGCGCCACUGAGCUAACUCCCGGCCCUGUUCCUUUCUCUGUUAGCCCGGUCUUCCUGUCUAAUGGAUACAGUAGCUUUGGCUCUCUCUAGGAUACUGUUUCUUUUGAAAACCCUUCUCCCCUGUUUACUAAAUGAUCCGUUUCUUCCAGGAUCAAUUUUUCUGCGAUCCCCUUUGUUGGGAGGUGCGGUACCAACUGCAGUGUCAACUAUCAGAAACGAAGAAGUUGCUCCUGUCACAACCCUUCCGGGGGGAAGGCAAUGGAUACCAGGGAGAGGGGGCUCCCCUCCAUUUCUGCUCCUCCUCCUGAGACAGCCUACGACAUAUUCUUCUUUCCCUCCUUCGAGGUCUGAGUGCCAAUGCCAGCUGGAACUCCUGCAGUGUGACAGCCUGGGGACCGAGGCAGCCCGCGCACCCACCCAGCACUGCUCUGCUUUUCCAAUUGGAAUCCAUCAGCAGCUCCUCCUGCCUUCCCCCUAGGCGCGGUGGAAAGGUUUCCUGUUUAUGCCUCGCUUGAGAACCCACAACGGAGAGAGGUGGGGUUUCCGACCUGCCUUCGGGGCUGGAUCGGUUUUAUCAAAGCCCACCCGACCCCCUCGUAACUGCCCUGUGGCUUUGGGGGCGGUGGUGGGUGGGCUCUGGUAAGGGGGAGGCGGUAGCCCGGCUUCCCGGCGGGACCCAUAAAUUUGGCCUUGUUAAGAAACCUGCAGGGAUGGUCGGGUUGAAGGUGAUCGGGUUACAAAAGCCAGCCAGGCCUUGAUGGCUUCACGGGAGGCCGGGGGCGAACAAAAGACCCGCGGCCAGGGGCGGUUAGGGUGGGCCUGAGCCAGCCACCCUCGGGAGACCCGGAGUGGCCCCCAGGGGACAACCUUUAGAUUAAGCAGCUGGGAGAACUGGAGUCCUAGGCGAAGACUCCCCCAGAAACACCUUUUUCCCUUUCUGGGUGGGGAUGGGCCGGAAAUUUAUUGUGAUUUUAUCAAAAAUAAAUGCAGCAAAAUUUAUGCAUAGAAAAAAUACUGAAAGGAAAC
rnacentral:lncRNA from 1 species